AGGGGAGUAGCUCAACUGGUAGAGCAGCGGUCUCCAAAACCGCAGGCUGCGGGUUCAAGUCCUGUCUCCCCUGCCA
rnacentral:tRNA from 1 species